rnacentral:rRNA from 1 species
AUUGAACGCUGGCGGCAUGCUUUACACAUGCAAGUCGAACGGUAACAGGCCUUCGGGUGCUGACGAGUGGCGAGCGGGUGAGUAAUGCAUCGGAACGUACCCAGAGGUGGGGGAUAACGCAGCGAAAGCUGUGCUAAUACCGCAUGUGAUCUGAGGAUGAAAGCGGGGGACCGAGCAGCAAUGUUUGGCCUCGCGCCUUUGGAGCGGCCGAUGUCGGAUUAGCUAGUUGGUGGGGUAAAGGCCUACCAAGGCGACGAUCCGUAGCUGGUCUGAGAGGACGACCAGCCACACUGGGAUUGAGACACGGCCCAGACUCCUACGGGAGGCAGCAGUGGGGAAUUUUGGACAAAGGGCGCAAGCCUGAUCCAGCAAUGCCGCGUGCGGGAAGAAGGCCUUCGGGUUGUAAACCGCUUUUGGCAGGAACGAAACGGUGUCCGCUAAUACCGGGCGCUAAUGACGGUACCUGCAGAAUAAGCACCGGCUAACUACGUG